rnacentral:rRNA from 1 species
UACGUAGGGGGCAAGCGUUGUCCGGAUUUAUUGGGCGUAAAGGGCUCGUAGGCGGUCUGUCACGUCAGGAGUGAAAACUCGGGGCUCAACCCCGAGCCUGCUUCUGAUACGGGCAGACUGGAGGUAUGCAGGGGAGAACGGAAUUCCUGGUGUAGCGGUGAAAUGCGCAGAUAUCAGGAGGAACACCGGUGGCGAAGGCGGGUCUCUGGGCCGAUACUGACGCUGAGGAGCGAAAGCGUGGGGAGCGAACAGG